rnacentral:rRNA from 1 species
UACGGAGGGGACUAGCGUUGUUCGGAAUUACUGGGCGUAAAGCGCACGCAGGCGGCUUCGUUAGUCGGAUGUGAAAGCUCCUGGCUUAACUGGGAGAGGCCAUUCGAUACUGCGGGGCUUGAGGUUGGGAGAGGGGUGUGGAAUUCCCGGUGUAGUGGUGGAAUGCGUAGAUAUCGGGAGGAACACCAGUGGCGAAGGCGGCACCCUGGCCCACACCUGACGCUGAGGUGCGAAAGCGUGGGUAGCAAACAGG